rnacentral:rRNA from 1 species
UAUAAGACUGGGAUAACUUCGGGAAACCGGAGCUAAUGCCGGAUAACAUUUGGAACCGCAUGGUUCUAAAGUAAAAGAUGGUUUUGCUAUCACUUAUAGAUGGACCCGCGCCGUAUUAGCUAGUUGGUAAGGUAACGGCUUACCAAGGCAACGAUACGUAGCCGACCUGAGAGGGUGAUCGGCCACACUGGAACUGAGACACGGUCCAGACUCCUACGGGAGGCAGCAGUAGGGAAUCUUCCGCAAUGGACGAAAGUCUGACGGAGCAACGCCGCGUGAGUGAUGAAGGUUUUCGGAUCGUAAAACUCUGUUAUUAGGGAAGAACAAAUGUGUAAGUAACUGUGCACAUCUUGACGGUACCUAAUCAGAAAGCCACGGCUAACUACGUGCCAGCAGCCGCGGUAAUACGUAGGUGGCAAGCGUUAUCCGGAAUUAUUGGGCGUAAAGCGCGCGUAGGCGGUUUCUUAAGUCUGAUGUGAAAGCCCACGGCUCAACCGUGGAGGGUCAUUGGAAACUGGGAAACUUGAGUACAGAAGAGGAAAGUGGAAUUCCAUGUGUAGCGGUGAAAUGCGCAGAGAUAUGGAGGAACACCAGUGGCGAAGGCGACUUUCUGGUCUGUAACUGACGCUGAUGUGCGAAAGCGUGGGGAUCAAACAGGAUUAGAUACCCUGGUAGUCCACGCCGUAAACGAUGAGUGCUAAGUGUUAGGGGGUUUCCGCCCCUUAGUGCUGCAGCUAACGCAUUAAGCACUCCGCCUGGGGAGUACGACCGCAAGGUUGAAACUCAAG